rnacentral:rRNA from 1 species
UCGAGCGGUAACAGACAUCUUGAUUUUGCUUGCAAAAUCUCGUGCUGACGAGCGGCGAACGGGUGAGUAACGCGUAGGAAUCUACCUAGUAGAAGGGGAUAGCCCGAGGAAACUCGGAUUAAUACCGUAUACGUCCUUAGGGAGAAAGAGGGCUUAGCUUUGAUGCUCUCGCUAUUAGAUGAGCCUGCGUAAGAUUAGCUUGUUGGUGAGGUAAAGGCUCACCAAGGCGACGAUCUUUAGCUGGUCUGAGAGGACGAUCAGCCACAUUGGGACUGAGACACGGCCCAGACUCCUACGGGAGGCAGCAGUGGGGAAUAUUGGACAAUGGGCGCAAGCCAGAUCCAGCCAUACCGCGUGUGUGAAGAAGGCCUUCGGGUUGUAAAGCACUUUAAGUAAGGAAGAAAAGAGUAUUGUUAAUACCAAUACUCCGUGACAUUACUUACAGAAUAAGGACCGGCUAAUUCCGUGCCAGCAGCCGCGGUAAUACGGAAGGUCCAAGCGUUAAUCGGAAUUACU